GAUGAACGCUGGCGGCGUGCUUAACACAUGCAAGUCGAACGAAGCACUUUAUUUGAUUUCCUUCGGGACUGAUUAUUUUGUGACUGAGUGGCGGACGGGUGAGUAACGCGUGGGUAACCUGCCUUGUACAGGGGGAUAACAGUUGGAAACGGCUGCUAAUACCGCAUAAGCGCACAGCAUCGCAUGAUGCAGUGUGAAAAACUCCGGUGGUAUAAGAUGGACCCGCGUUGGAUUAGCUAGUUGGUGAGGUAACGGCCCACCAAGGCGACGAUCCAUAGCCGACCUGGGAGGGUGACCGGCCACAUUGGGACUGAGACACGGCCCAAACUCCGACGGGAGGCAGCAGUGGGGAAUAUUGCACAAUGGGCGAAAGCCUGAUGCAGCGACGCCGCGUGAGCGAAGAAGUAUUUCGGUAUGUAAAGCUCUAUCAGCAGGGAAGAUAAUGACGGUACCUGACGAAGAAGCACCGGCUAAAUACGUG
rnacentral:rRNA from 1 species